CCGUGGGAGGGAAGGCACUCUCUGUCAAGCUGCUGUCACCUUACCUGAAGUAAGGAGUCCACGCCUGCAUGUCCGAGGAAAACAGUUUUCUCAAACACAUUAGUUGAAAAACUGAAGACGCUGCCUAAAAUACAAGCUGAGUUAGAGACAGCCCUUGUAAGACUAGAAAAAGAAAUGGAAACUAAGUAACAUGAAUUAACAUAGUCCAGGGUCACAAAGCAACAUGGAACAAGAACCUGGAUCUGAAUUCAGAGGCAGAAUGCUGGAAUCUAAGCCAGAAUGAGGUUACUGCCUAGGCAAAGAAGAAGACAGCUCAUCACAGGUUUAGGAAUGAAGACAGAUCUGCUGGGUUAGGUUGUAAGUGACAGUCUCAGAGCACAGCCAAUCUGAUUCUAAAAUGAGCACAUGAGGAUGUAAGUAUUCAAGACAGAUCCACAACCAAAAAGUUAGUUCAAGACAAAGACUGCUGACUAGACUCAGUACUCAAGAUCCAGCAUACCCACCCAUUCUGGGAGAAUGCAAGCAAUCACCAGUACUUUACAUGGAUGGAAUGCUCAGGUCAAGAAAUUCCAACAGUAAGAAUCCAGAACCUGGAAGUGAAAGUACAAAGCAGAAAGAAUUGACUAUGUCCGUAUACUUUCUCAACCAUAUCUCAUGUGUAAUCCACUUGGCAGGAAGGGGUAAGGUUUUCUUUUUAGUGUUGGUCUCUUGUUUACUAAAAUGACGAUAUUUAGGAGAGCAUGUCCCAUUCCUCUGAUUCCAUACCAUCUUCCUUAUCCAGUUGGUAGG
rnacentral:lncRNA from 10 species